UCUAUCGCCUGUGCUGAAAGGCAAUUGUGCUUGAGGGAGAGCUUUCUUAAUAUUAUUGUGUUGCCUGCUAGCCUCUCUGGGUCAGGAUCUGUCAGCAUUUCCAUGAUAAACUUCUAAUUUCAAAGGUUUUUAAUUUGACCAUUAAAAGGUGCCCCAGGCUGAAGUUUGCUAUAGAGGGCCUGUUCCAAAGAGUGAAGGUUCGCUGCCUUCUUUUCUCUGCACAAUUCUCCGGAGAAAAGAACAACCAAAAAAUCAGAAAUCACUUCUCGAGGCCUGUCUUUGCCAAGAAGCCAGAAGAAAGUACGUUUGCUGCAGCCCUGACUUCAAGGGCACUGGGUGAUGCCGCUCCUCUGGGUAGACACUCCAUUCUCUGCUGGAGACCAUCCUGCUUUUGGAGACUUGCAGUUUGUAGGACGACCACCAGGGGGCACCUGUGCAUCAUCUCAUUCCCCAGGGACUGGCCCAGGGACCAGAAAGAUCCCUGUCACCGGCCCCCAGCGAGUUGAAGAGGCAGCUAACUAGGCCUGUAGCAUCUGCUCUGCUGAAGUUUGCUGAGCCCCAUGGUUUUUCUCUUAGCUUCAGGCAUCCCUUGAAGAGAAUCAGAAACUCCUCCCCUCCCCUCUCUUUUCCUUUCCACGUAGGGCACCACAGUGCAUGGUAGAGCCUGCUGCUCUGGCCUGAGCAUAUGGGAACACCAGCCUGGUUGGCUCACUUGACAUAGAUGUUUCCUACUAGAAAUUCAAAGACUUCAGAAAUGGAGGUUAUUAGCAGUGUAAAGCUCCUUGUGAAAAGUAGCACAAUCAGAGAUGAUCAAUUUACUGCCACUUGAUGAUGCUGAGCUAGGUCUGGGAAGCGUUGCCUGGCCUUCAUUGGCUGGGCUCAUCUGGCGUGAUCUUAGCACAUUAUCAUUUAAUUCUGCAAACAUUUGCCAGGUAUUGGGCUGGGGAUAUAUUUGUCAUGGUUUAGUGAUUACAGACUAGUAAGGGAAGAAAGUCAUUGGGCCUAUAAAACAGGGUGCUUGGGCAAGAGCUGGGGGUGAAAGGCUUUCAAAAUAAGGCACUGUCUGACUCAGUCCUGGAGGGUGAGUCACCUGGACAGUCCCUAGGUAUCUGGGUAGCGCUGGGCCAGAAACAUCACUAGCAGCUCUGGUGCCUGAGGGCCUGGCUGCAGAGGGGCAAUUCUAUUCCCCUGGAGCGACCAGGAGCAGGCAGGCUCCAGAGAAGGUGGGACACUCAUUCAGUCACUCAGCAUUGACCGAGCGCCUACUACAUGCCAGGACAUUCAUUCAGUCACUCAGCAUUGACCGAGCGCCUACUACAUGCCAGGACAUUCAUUCAGUCACUCAGCAUUGACCGAGCGCCUACUACAUGCCAGGACACUCAUUCAGUCACUCAGCAUUGACCGAGCGCCUACUACAUGCCAGGACACUCAUUCAGUCACUCAGCAUUGACCGAGCGCCUACUACAUGCCAGGACAUUCAUUCAGUCACUCAGCAUUGACCGAGCGCCUACUACAUGCCAGGCAACAAAACGAGUCACAGUAAACCAGGCUGGGGAGCCAUUCCUGACCACACAGGGAGGCUUCUCCCCUGGUGGUACCCAUGUUGGACACCAAGAUCUUGACACCGACAGUCAAGCAGAAUCCACCUGGUCCUCGCUGUGAGAGACAAGCAUCCUUGGAAGACUUCUUUGUUUAACUCAGAUCUUUAUUAAGCUGCCAAGAAGCUUUGCUUGAAACAACUGACCCACACUUUGGAAAGGGAAGCAAAGAUAGUACACCAUUUACUAUCGUUUUUCCAUGUCCUCAUCCCUCCUCACAAAGGAGCCUCAGCCAGUGUGAUCGAAAUGACUCUGUCUCCAGCAGAGAUGUUUUUCCUCCUGCCCUUGCUCAACUCUCCUAUUCGUCCUCUCUGGGUCCAGGCCAUUCGCCGUCCUGGGGGACUGUCUCUGUUGGGCUGGCAUCUUUGACAUGGGUCCCAGCUACUGUCACCAGACUGAGUCUCAUCUGUGAACAUGGUGGUCUAAGAAAUAUAAAUUUUUAAAUUUUUUCUAUAACUUUA